GUGCCCGUAGCUCAGCUGGAUAGAGCGACGGAUUCCGGAUCCGUAGGUCGCAGGUUCGACUCCUGUCGGGCACA
rnacentral:tRNA from 1 species